ACUUAAAUAAUUUAAAUAAAAUAUUAGUUUGUGGAACUAAAAAUAUGAUGAGGAUCAUUUUAAGUC
rnacentral:tRNA from 1 species